rnacentral:rRNA from 1 species
GUCUAUGGCCAUACCACCUUGAAUGCACCCAAUCUCAUCUGAUCCCAGAAGCUAAGCAAGGUUGGAACUGGUUAGUACUUGGAUGGGAGACCACCUGGGAACCCCAGGUGCUAUAGAAU